rnacentral:lncRNA from 1 species
AGCAUGUUUCUCCACUACCACCUCUAUUUUCAAGUACUCAGAAAUCAAUUAGACUGCUUCACAAAGGAGACAAGCCUGAAUGUCAAGAAACCGGACAAUUAGAUCGCAUCACAUACUCUUGAACUUUCAUGGAGACUGCAAAAUACACGGCAUCCAGUGCCAGCGACAACUUCCCACUCUGUAAUCCAAAGGAAAGGGAGUUUGGGAUUAAACCACAUGCUGCUGACGGGAGCUUGGAAGUAACCAUUCCAUCUUAACAUGAAGUAAAAACCUAAACAGAUGAAAAAUCAACAAUUCUUCUUGGAUCCAUAAGAGAAGUGAGGCCACAGGGCAAACUACUACCCUCAAAAUUGGAGAGACCGACAGGUGAAUACAGAGAAUCACAACUUACCAAAGCAGAAACCCAUGAGCUGAAACCUUCGUGGGAACCAAUGCCAGGAUAAGGAAACUGAGGCCCAGAUAAGUCAAGAGAAUUGCAUAAGCCCACCAGGAUCUUUUGUACAUCUGCCGUGUAUUGAUUAGUGAUUUGAAGUAACAGAAAGCAUCUUUAGCCAUCUUCACUCCCAAAGAGGGAAUCUGCCAUAAAGAUAUUGAGGAAGAAGUCACCUGGGUCUCAGGAACAAGG